GGAGAGGUCGCAUAGAUGGCCGAGUGCGCACGCUUGGAAAGCGUGUGGGCGUGAUGAGCGCCCCGCGGGUUCGAAUCCCGCCCUCUCCG
rnacentral:tRNA from 1 species